rnacentral:lncRNA from 1 species
CUCAUGGACCUCUCUCUCAUCAGCUCUGACCCAGAAGCCCACAGUGAUGAUUCCUCCUCUGACAGAGGGACAGCAGACCACACUGAGCUGCACUGCUCCUGGUCUCUGCUCUGGAUCUGCUCCUCAGAUCACCUGGAUGUGGAGACGAGGAGAAAACGACUCUGUCAUUAGAGGAAACUUCAGUACUGAGAGGCUGUCUGCUGCUGCACAAAGACACAGCUCAACUUUGACCUUUACUCCCUCAGCUGAGGACCAUGGUACUGAGGUCACCUGUAAGGUCAGCUUUAAAGGGGGGGCGACAACAGAGCAGACAGAGACUCUGAAUGUAACCUGUAAGUGUCACAAAGUCUACUAAAGGCCACAGUUAUAAAUAUUAUAUUUGUUUUAAAUGAUGAAGUGUAUAAUUUUGUCUUACAGAUGUAAAGGAAGUUCAACUCUUAUGGAACACGGAUGUGAAAGAGGGUGAGACUCUGAAUCUGAGGUGCAACGUUGAGAGUUUCCCUCCAUCUCUCAUCACAUGGACAAAACUUCCUGAUAACAACACACAAACCGGAACAGAAACUGAUCUGCAAAAUGACACUUUAACUGAUCAGGAGAAGAAAACUGAAAUCUUCCUGAAGGAGGGAAUCGGGGAGUCGACUUUUUCCAUCUCUAAUGUGACUGUAAAGGAUUCAGGACUGUACAUCUGCAGAGCAAAACACCUGAACAACACCCUGAUGAAGGAAGUGGAUGUCAAUGUGAUAUGUAAGUGCCAACAAAUGUUCAACCUCAGUGCCAUCUAGUGGUGAUAAUGGAAAAAAUCAGACAAACGCCUACAUGUGGAAACCUUCAUAUGAGUGCUAAUUAAUUAUAUUACACAUAAAUUAUAAAGGAACUGAUACCAGGGUUAAUUAGUUUCAUAUAAUUUUCUAUUAAGUCUGUUGUCCAGAUGCAUACACAUAUAAUUACUCAUAUAAUCUAACAGAUAACAAAAGAAUAUACUCAUGUUAUCCUCUUGAAGUAGAAAGUUCAGUUUCAUUCUUCUAACUUCAUUAUGACUUUUGUUCACAGACAUGAAAACACCUGUAAUCACUGGGAAUACGUCUGUCACUAAAGGGGACUCUCUGAAUCUGACCUGCAGCGUUGAAAGUUUUCCUCCAUCUCAUAUCACUUGGACUUUACUUGGUUCUGGUUCUGACCUGCAGAACGACACGGGAUCAGCCACACUGCUCAUCAGUGAUGUGCAGGCAGAAAACUCUGGAAGGUACAUCUGUACAGCAAAACACCUGAACACGACUGUGACUGUAUUCACUGACGUUUCUGUGACAUGUAAGUGGACUGGACUCAUCUUCCUAUAAGAAACUUCAUGUUCAGAUUUCCCAUGAAGGUUGUUUUGUAAUGUUGUGAUUCUUUUUGUGUGUUUACAGGGAUUCAAAGCAUCUUGAAAGACUCUGGUUGUCAGAUUAGGUCAGAGGUCUUGACUUGUGUGUGUGUCAGUGAAGGUUUUCCUUUACCCACCAUCGAAUGGCCGCUGUUGAAGAACCACGCUAAGUACUCUGCCAUUAAUACUGUGACAAACCACACGAUCAGCAGCACCAUCACAGUGACUGCUAAAGACCACAGCAACACCUCUGCAGAGUGUGUCAGCAGCAACAGAAAUCGAGAAGUCAAAGAAAAUCUCACCAUCCAAAUUAACAUGCCAGAAAUAGAAGGUACAUGUCCUCGACCAAACUACUUCUGCUACUGCAAACUAAAGACCUCUGUGACCUUUGUGUGAGGAAGUCUACUGUAUAAUGCAAGCUGUGCAAGUUCAUCUGCAUGUUCACUGACACUGAAAGUUUUGUGUUGUUCCUCUUAAAGCAGAUCAGUCCUGGGUAUCAAAAACAUUUUCAUGGGUGGAAGUCAUCACUGCCUUUUUUCUGGGCUUAAUUCUCUCAGCUGUCCUUUGGUGUUUGGCAACAAUAUGCCAGAGGUAUUCUAUUAACUCCAAAGAGUUCCUCAUGGUUUGACAUUUGGAUGAUUGUUAUACAUACAUUGAAAUGGUUUGCUUUGUUUUCUCCAGACAAAGACAGAGGAGUUCUGGAAAUAUGGGGAAGACUUUGGUGAUGGUGACCAGUCAGGAGGAUCCCCUGGUAAUUAGAAUUCAUUCUGUUGUAGUUCCCUGACUGUCGGCUUAAGACUGGAUGCAGAACCACCAAAAUCACACCACACCGAAAAAUCCACUUUUUAAAGCAAAAGUAAACACCCUGAUGGUCUGGCCUCCCAUGCCAGUCUGUGUACAAGGAGCAAUGUUUUUGUAUAUAUAUAUAUAUAUAUAUAUAUAUAUAUAUAUAUAUAUAUAUAUAUAUAUAUAUAUAUAUAUAUAUAUAUAUAUAUAUAUACACAUAUAUAUAAAUAUAAAUAUAAAUAUAUAAAUAUAUAUAUUUAUACAUACACACACACACACACACACACACACAUAUAUAUAUAUAUAUAUAUAUACACAUUUAUAUAUACACGUAUAUAUAUAAAAAAAAUAUAUAUAAAAUAUUUAUAUAAAUAUAUAUAUAUAUAUGUAUAUAUAAAUGUAUAUAUGUGUGUGUGUAUAGAUUUAUAUAUAUAUAUAUAUAUUUCUAUAUAAAUGUACAUAUAUAUUUAUUUAUACAUAGGACUAGCCACCAAACACCACUCUACUCCAGCAGCCGCUUGUUUGUGGGGGAGCCCUGACAAGUUGAUCACCGAGUGCAGUGGAGUUUAGCAGCUCAAGGAAGAAAAUUUAGGAUCAUUACUUCAUGGAAAUGCAGUCAGACCGAACACUAAGGCAGAAGAACUACUGCGCCUGCAGUGCACAUACAAAAUACACAAGAAGUUUGAUUGCAUUUCCAUUAAGAAAUCAUCAUAAAUUUUCUUCCUUGAGCUGCGAAACUCCGCCACACUCGGCGAUCGACUUCUCAGGGCUGAUAAACAAGUCUUGUCAUUCAUGUUUUACUUGACAGAUGGAUGCUAGCCAAGAAGAAGAAGAAAAUCACACCUACUACCAAGAGGAAAGAGGAGGAAAAGCUGUGUCAGGGGAGAAAACAGCCCUUAAAGUGAACGGUGAAGCAAAAGAUGUGGAGUACGCCAGCAUUGAUUUCGCUGUGCUGAAAAGGAGGGCAGCAAAGAAGAAGGAGAGCACAAAAACAGAGUACGCUGAAAUUAGGAAAGACAUGAUAGAGCGAAGAGAAAACCACAGUGGAGUUAAAGAUGAAACACUGGGGGAAGAAGAGGAGGAGACAACUGAUUUGGUCACAGAGGAGGAGGAAGGAGAGGGUGUGGCAGUGUACUCCAAUCUGAGGGAUGUAAUAAAUGGGACAUGAGGACAGUGUUCAGAUAUGAAGAACUGAAGUAGUUCACUGAUGAUGGAUUGUUUUACUGUGAGGGACUAAAUUACAAGUCUAUACGUUUAAAAUGAGGCACCAGCUCGGUCCUCUCAGCUCUGGGAGCUGAAGCUAAGUGUAAUUUUGGUCCACUCAAAGCUCUUCAGAGUGGACUGAAUGUCUGUUCCUGUGGAAAAAUUAAAUCCUCCCUUUAACCCUGUGAAGCUAACCUGUCACUUCUCAGUGGCUGUGAUGACUGUAAGACAAUAGUGCAGUGCUGAUAUGGUGAAGAGUGCUUUAAUAAUCGUAUGCAUGGGUUUAUGAUGAAAGGGUUAUAUUUAUAUGAUACAGAUUUUGAAGAGAAGGAUGUUAAACAUCAUAAUUAAAGACUCCUCACUGUCCCGAAUGAGGCCGAGGACUGUGGUGUUGUCUUCUUCAGGACUUUGACAGAUGGAUCCUCUGAGAUCAAGUCAUUUAUGUGGAGGGAGAAGAGCAGUGGGGAAAGAACGCACACCAUCAGCGUAGAUCUAGGUGCUACUAGAUGUGAUCCCCACACCCAUCCUCAGACGAAUUAAGUGUCUGAAUGAAUGAGCGAGUGUGAGAGUUUUCUUCCACAGCUAUAUCUGACCCUGACUUUCAAAGAGAAGAAACUGUUGAGCAGUUUGUUUUCAUCAAUUCUUGUCUUACUUCUGGCACACUGCAGGAAAAAGUAGCUGUAAAUAAAGUGUUCAGUAAACUGACUGGUUAAAAACAA